UUUAGAGCAUCAUCAGCUUGUCUUUCAUUUUCAUAACUGGCAUCGUAACCCACCUCUGCCUUUGGUCAGGUGAAAGUGGCCUUGGAAAUUGACUGGAUGAGGACAAAAAUUAAUGGAGAUGAAAAUCAAGGUCGUCAUGUGUCUCAGACUGGAGUUCAUCAGCAGCCUUAAUAGCCAGGACAAACAAGGAGUGGGCCUGUUAAUUCAAGACAACUAAAGGGGUGCUGGGGCUUUCACAGUAAAACAGAGAAUUACAGAAGAAUCAAUGAAAAGCUACACACAGACAAAGACUGACAAUCAACCAAUGUGCAAAAGAAGGGUUGAUGUUCACAGCACUGUUGGCAGAAACUGGCAUAAAGUGGAUUGGAACCAACAUCCAAAGGAUUUCAAUCCCAUAAGUGAUACAGCAUCAAAUUUUGUUCUGGGAGUAUGGAUGCUUCUGCGGCCUUACCCUAUUAUAUCUGGGCAGCUGUCUGAGUUAUGUAUGCUGGCAUUCCAAGGACACUUAAAGAACCCUGACAGACAUCCUCUGAACAGGCCCGGUAUUGCCCUGUGUUUUGUUGAGUAAGCGUAUAAGAACUGUUCUUGAUAGUGAUCAAGCUAACUAUUUAUUAUUCUGCACUGGGUUUGCCAGUGUUAAAUGAAAUGAGGGCUCAUGAAUUUCAAACACUGAGCAGCAGGAUGCUGUAAGAUCUUAUGGAAUUUAUUUUUCGUUGGCAGCUGAAAUA